CCUACGGGAGGCAGCAGUGAGGAAUAUUGGUCAAUGGACGAGAGUCUGAACCAGCCAAGUAGCGUGAAGGAUGACUGCCCUAUGGGUUGUAAACUUCUUUUAUAUGGGAAUAAAACGUUCCACGUGUGGGAUUUUGUAUGUACCAUAUGAAUAAGGAUCGGCUAACUCCGUGCCAGCAGCCGCGGUAAUACGGAGGAUCCGAGCAUUAUCCGGAUUUAUUGGGUUUAAAGGGAGCGUAGGUGGAUUGUUAAGUCAGUUGUGAAAGUUUGCGGCUCAACCGUAAAAUUGCAGUUGAAACUGGCAGUCUUGAGUACAGUAGAGGUGGGCGGAAUUCGUGGUGUAGCGGUGAAAUGCUUAGAUAUCACGAAGAACUCCGAUUGCGAAGGCAGUUCACUGGACUGCAACUGACACUGAGGCUCGAAAGUGUGGGUAUCAAACAGGAUUAGAUACCCCUGUAGUC
rnacentral:rRNA from 1 species